CCUACGGGUGGCUGCAGUCGAGAAUCAUUCACAAUGGGGGAAACCCUGAUGGUGCGACGCCGCGUGGGGGAAUGAAGGUCUUCGGAUUGUAAACCCCUGUCAUGUGGGAGCAAAUUAAAAAGAUAGUACCACAAGAGGAAGAGACGGCUAACUCUGUGCCAGCAGCCGCGGUAAUACAGGGGUCUCAAGCGUUGUUCGGAAUCACUGGGCGUAAAGCGUGCGUAGGCUGGUUCGUGAGUCGUGUGUGAAAGGCGCGGGCUCAACCCGCGGACGGCACAUGAUACUGCGAGACUAGAGUAAGGGAGGGGGAACCGGAAUUCGUGGUGUAGCAGUGAAAUGCGUAGAUAUCGAGAGGAACACUCGUGGCGAAGGCGGGUUCCUGGACAUUAACUGACGCUGAGGCACGAAGGCCAGGGGAGCGAAAGGGAUUAGAUACCCCUGUAGUC
rnacentral:rRNA from 1 species